UCCGAAUUAGUAUAUCGGCUAGUAUGACCGCCUCUCAUUGGGUGUCCGCGGUAGAGACGGGUUCGACUCCCGUAUUCGGAA
rnacentral:tRNA from 1 species